rnacentral:rRNA from 1 species
ACGCUGGCGGCGUGUCUUAAGCAUGCAAGUCGUGCGGCAAGGCGGGGCAACCCGCCCUAGAGCGGCGGACUGGUGAGUAACGCGUGGGUGAUCUGCCCUUGGGACGGGGAUAGCCAUUAGAAAUAGUGGGUAAUACCGAAUACGUUCAUCCGGUUACGGCCGGAUGAGGAAAAGCGCUUCGGCGCUGCCCGAGGAUGAGCCCGCGUCCCAUUAGCUAGUUGGUGAGGUAAAGGCCCACCAAGGCGAUGAUGGGUAGCCGGCCUGAGAGGGUGUACGGCCACACUGGGACUGAGAUACGGCCCAGACUCCUACGGGAGGCAGCAGCUAAGAAUAUUCCGCAAUGGACGAAAGUCUGGCGGAGCGACGCCGCGUGGAUGACGAAGGCCGAAAGGUUGUAAAGUCCUUUUGUUGGGGAAGAAUAACCAUGGGAGGGAAUGCCCGUGGGAUGACAUGAACCGACGAAUAAGCCCCGGCUAACUACGUGCCAGCAGCCGCGGUAACACGUAGGGGGCGAGCGUUGUUCGGAAUUACUGGGCGUAAAGGGCAUGUAGGCGGCUCUGUAAGCCCGGCGUGGAAGCCCACGGCUCAACCGUGGGAUUGCGUCGGGAACUGCAGGGCUUGAAUCAUGGAGAGGGAGCUAGAAUUCCUGGUGUAGGGGUGAAAUCUGUAGAGAUCAGGAAGAAUACCAGUGGCGAAGGCGAGCUCCUGGCCAAUGAUUGACGCUGAGGUGCGAAAGUGUGGGGAUCAAACAGGAUUAGAUACCCUGGUAGUCCACACUGUAAACGAUGUGCACUAGGUGCUGGGGCGGAUGCUUCAGUGCCGGAGCUAACGCGGUAAGUGCACCGCCUGGGGAGUAUGCUCGCGAGGGUGAAACUCAAAU